ACUCGUGAACUGUGGGGCUUAAUAUCUCCCCCUGCAGAUCCGGGUGGCGGCAAUAGCCGCUUUACUGACUUACAAGGAG
ncrna:unclassified sequences L20-Deltaproteobacteria ribosomal protein leader